AUGAACGCUAGCGACAGGCCUAACACAUGCAAGUCGAGGGGCAGCGGGGGCGAAAGCUUGCUUUCGCCUGCCGGCGACCGGCGCACGGGUGAGUAACACGUAUGGAACCUGCCCUAUGCAGGGGGAUAAGCGGAAGAAAUUCCGUCUAAUACCGCAUAACACCUUUAGGAGACAUCUUCUUGGGGUUCUGAGAGGAAGGUCCCCCACACUGGUACUGAGACACGGACCAGACUCCUACGGGAGGCAGCAG
rnacentral:rRNA from 1 species